UACGUAGGGUGCGAGCGUUGUCCGGAAUUAUUGGGCGUAAAGGGCUCGUAGGCGGUCUGUUGCGUCAGGAGUGAAAACUCGGGGCUUAACCCCGAGCCUGCUUCUGAUACGGGCAGACUAGAGGUAUGCAGGGGAGAACGGAAUUCCUGGUGUAGCGGUGAAAUGCGUAGAUAUCCGGAGGAACACCAGUGGCGAAGGCGGCCACCUGGGCUGUACCUGACGCUCAAACACGAAAGCUAGGGGAGCGAACGGG
rnacentral:rRNA from 1 species